rnacentral:rRNA from 2 species
UUUAGAGUUUGAUCCAUGGCUCAGGACGAACGCUGGCGGCGUGCCUAAUACAUGCAAGUCGAGCGAAUCGACGGGAGCUUGCUCCCUGAGAUUAGCGGCGGACGGGUGAGUAACACGUGGGCAACCUGCCUAUAAGACUGGGAUAACUUCGGGAAACCGGAGCUAAUACCGGAUACGUUCUUUUCUCGCAUGAGAGAAGAUGGAAAGACGGUUUACGCUGUCACUUAUAGAUGGGCCCGCGGCGCAUUAGCUAGUUGGUGAGGUAAUGGCUCACCAAGGCGACGAUGCGUAGCCGACCUGAGAGGGUGAUCGGCCACACUGGGACUGAGACACGGCCCAGACUCCUACGGGAGGCAGCAGUAGGGAAUCUUCCGCAAUGGACGAAAGUCUGAGGGAGCAACGCCGCGUGAACGAAGAAGGCCUUCGGGUCGUAAAGUUCUGUUGUUAGGGAGGAACAAGUACCAGAGUAUUCUGU